GUGCCUGCUCCACUAUUUUUCCGCUCGGGGUUGCUGCAAGCCACAAGCAGUAGCGGAUGGAACUCCUGCCAACUGACAGAUGCAGCCUUGCGAUUUUCGUACCACACUCUUGCCUCAUCAAGGAGGGAGAUGUGGACGUUUUUAAACAUAAGAAAAAUGCAUAAUAUGACGGAGGAACCCAGGAGUCUACGAGCAACGCAUCUAGACUAUGGAUAGCCUCCAGUGAUGAAGAAUAACCCUCGUCAGACAUGUACAUCGGACGACAGAGUAGAAUACUAAUAAGUGCCUUGCAUGUUUAUAUAAAAUAUAAGAACUUAUGCUAGUGUCUGAGUUUGUUUAUUUAAAGUAAUAAAUGUUCAGCUUGGUAGUGCACCAACCAU